AGGUCGAGGCAUGUUUCCAUUUAGCAGUGGGGGAUAAAUAUGGCCCUGACACAUGAGAUGUUCCAGACUCGACCAUAACCUGCCCGUCUCUUCACCAGUGGAAAAAUCUGCCCUUUGACCCGGAGUGUUUCCAACAUUGAGGAAGGAGGCGGCAGCUGAGGAAUGCCAUGCUUCAGCGCCAGCAGAGUGAGAGGAGGGAUGGAUCGAUGCCCAUCAUUUACACAGCGAUUUCCUUCAGCUGGGGCGGACGACAGGAGUGACUGUAUGCAACAUUCAUAAUCUGCAGCAUAUGAGCGGUCAUGAUAAUUACAUUUUCUCGAUUGUACUCAGCAACUUGC